CGAGAAAGCAGAGUUGCUAAAAGAGAAAAUUUUACAGGGAUGGAAGUAUGGUGAGUGGGAUGAUUCUCUCCUACCUGGUGAUCAGGAUUCUGAUUGGUUCAUCUUCAAGGGUGAAGGGUGCUCAGUAAUUUUGAACGUGCCACAAGUGAUAGAUUGUCAGUUGAAAUCGAUGCUUCUCAAUGUUAUGUAUUCUU